rnacentral:rRNA from 1 species
AGUAGUUGAUCAUGGCUCAGGACAACGGCUGGCGGCGUGCUUAACACAUGCAAGUCGAACGGGGAGUAUUGAAGAAGCUUGCUUUAGAGAUACUUUAGUGGCGACGGGUGAGUAACACGUGAGGAGCUGUCCAAUGCAGGGGGACAACAGUUGGAAACGACUGCUAAUACCCCAUAAGCCGAGAGGUAAAAGGAUUUAUCCGGCAGAGGAGGUACUCGCGUCCUAUCAGCUAGUAGGUGAGGUAACGGCUCACCUAGGCGAAGACGGGUAGCCGGCCUGAGAGGGCGAACGGCCACACUGGAACUGAGAUACGGUCCAGACUCCUACGGGAGGCAGCAGUGGGAAUAUUGGGCAAUGGGGGAACCCUGACCCAGCGACGCCGCGUGGGUGAAGAAAUCCUUCGGGAUGUAAAGCCCUGUUGUAUGGGAAGAGCGGAAGACGGUACCAUACGAGGAAGCCCCGGCAAACUACGUG